rnacentral:rRNA from 1 species
CAGCCGCCGCGGUAAUACGUAGGUGGCAAGCGUUGUCCGGAAUUAUUGGGCGUAAAGGGCUCCCAGGCGGUUUCUUAAGUCUGAUGUGAAAGCCCCCGGCUCAACCGGGGAGGGUCAUUGGAAACUGGGAAACUUGAGUGCAGAAGAGGAGAGCGGAAUUCCACGUGUAGCGGUGAAAUGCGUAGAGAUGUGGAGGAACACCAGUGGCGAAGGCGACUCUCUGGUCUGUAACUGACGCUGAGGAGCGAAAGCGUGGGGAGCGAACAGGAUUAGAUACCCCCGUAGUCCCUGUCUCUUAUAC